rnacentral:lncRNA from 1 species
AGUAUUUUUAUGAUAAUUUUUGCAUUAUUUAUGUUUUUAAGUUAAGGGCCUUAAGGCUUAUGUCUCGUUUUGCCUUGAGGCUUAGACCUUGCCUUAUUUGGGCAAAAUGCCUCAAGAUCGCCUUUUGCCUUUUAAAACAUUGAUUGUCAUUCACUUGACUUCAUAUUUAAACUUUGCUAACAAUGUGUUUGAAAUUAAAUUAGAUGUUCUUCACAUAUUUUUCUUUAGGGCCUUGUUGCUGAAGUUCCUGAAAUUAUACACCGAUGUGCUAGUCGAGAUGAGGCUGCUUUGGCUGUGGCUCAAAAGGUGUGCUGCCUCCCAUAGGGAAAUUUUUCGGAAUAUUAUAUCUUUUUUAUGUUGUGAAUUUGUAAUCUAAAUUUGAUGUGUAGGUUUUUAAGGGUCUGUAUGCCGAUGCAUCAAACAGUUCUAAUGUUGCUGCUUAUCUUGCAAUUCUGGUUGCCAUUCGUGAUCUUUGCAAGCUUGUUGUUAAGGAGCUCACUAGUUGGGUAUGCUCUGUUGUACUCUUCCUGUUCUCUAGAAUAGGUGUUGUAGUUUGGAAGGCCUUAUGUUCUUUGUAGCAUGAAAUGGGUAAUGCUGACACAUUGAAUCCUGAAUCAAUAGCACAUGACAUGAAAACCUGUAACUUGUAUUUGAUCUUCUAAUAUAGUAUGCCUAUAUAAUUUUAAUUAAUUAAUGUAAAUUCUGCAUUCCAGUUAACUUGGAAGCUGAAGCUUAACCAAUAUGUACUCAUUAUGUAUAUUGUAUAUUGCUAUUCCUAUUACUAGCACUCCUCCUGUGAACCCAAACUGUCCUCUCCUCCAGUUUGAUGGGUUAGAUUGGCAAGGUUGAACUUAUUGGGUUGCUUGGAUUAAGUGGGUAAUCAGUUAUUUCUACAAAUUAGAUUUAUUUUUUUUAUAUUUAUUAGCACCUUGAUUUACUGGAGUGUGUUUUACAAAAUAACACAUGAAUAGUUGAGAAUUGAAAUAAGUUGCAAGAACAAAAUAAGAACUUAGAUAAUAAAUGUAUGAUGUAGAUAAUUAGAAUUUCAUUUUUUUUAGGUAUUUUUUGGUGCAUGGAAUCAAAUUAAGAUUUCUUAUCAUGCUAAUAGUUGCCAAAUGAAUCGGCCUAUUUUUUACUUUUUUGCUUUGUCAACUUCAUUCCAUGUAUUUAUCACUGUCAUUGUUUUACAAUGUAGUAUUGGUGUGGUUAAAGUGGUGGAUAUUUUGUGUUGGAAGUGUCAAAUGGUAUAGAUCCAUGGCUAUCUGGGACUUUGAUUUUUCAACUGAUUAGGAUUAGCCCUUAUAGUGAAAAUAACAAGAUAAAUGUGCUUCUAAGGGAAAAUAUUAUUUUCUGCUACCUUGAAUAAUCCUUACAAAGGGAAUAUAUAUACAAAUUAAUUGCAGCCUAUUUAAGGAGAGUUUGACACCCUUAUCAAUCCUUAAAAAUUCAGGGGACAACCUAACUAGUUACAUUAAAAUUAAGCAAUGGUUACAAUUAGGAAACUACUUUAUUUUACCAAAAUCUUCACAGCUGUACAUUGAUAUUUGAAAGUUAGAGAAUUCAUAAAUUUUCCAACACUCCCCUUUAAGCUAGUGAAUAGAUAUUAUCCAUUCCUAGCUUGCUUGUAAUCUUUUGGAAUAAAGAGCUGGCCAAUCCCUUGGUUAAAAUAUCUACCAAUUAUCCAUGUGUUGGGACAUAUGAUGUACAUAUCAACCCACUCUCAAGGUUCUCUUUGAUGAAGUGUCUAUCUACUUCACAUGUUUGGUUUGGUCAUAUUGAAUUGGAUUAUGAGCAAUGUUGAUGGCCGACGUAUUGUCACAAUAGAACUAAAUUGGUCCCUGCCCCUUGAUUUUAAGAUUAUUAAGAACAAUUUUUUACCACAAAAGUUCACAAAUACCAUGAGUCAUGGCUCUAAACUCUAUUUUAGCACUUGACCUCGCCACCACCAUUUGUUUCUUACAUCUCCAGGUUACUAAAUUUCCUUAAAGUAGCAUGCAAUAACUUGAGGCUACCCUCUAUCCACAAUCAACCCAACCCAGUCAGCAUUUGUGUAUGCUUCAAGGACUCUCCCCCUUCAUCAAGCUCUGAGUUUAGUCCUGCCAAAAAUUUAAAAACAUGUUCUUUUUCCAGCAACCUCUUGAACUGGGCAGCAUCUCCAACAUUCUCCCAUUUAGCUUCUUCAUACUGAUCAAACUCUUACUAGAGACCCUUAAGAAUACCAUAGUAUUUUGUGACACCCUAAGCUCCCUGCUUUGUUUCUUGUUGCUUGAUUGCAAGGCUUCUGAUUGACCCAUACUCUACCUGGGUCUUCCUUUGGGAGGGAACCCAAUUGCUUGCGGAUUUUGGGAUCCAGUUAUUGAGAGAAUCUCAAGGAGAUUAGAUGGGUGGCAAAAGGCUUACUUAUCUUUCGGAGAUAGGAUAGCUCUUAUCCACUCACGCCUUUCCCACAUUCUUAGCUACUUUCUCUCUUUGUUUAAGAUUCCCGCUUCAGUGGUUGCAAAAAUUGAGAGAUUGCAAAGGGAUUUCCUUUGGUUAGGGGUUGGGGAAGGUAAAAGAGAUCAUCUUGUUAGUUGGAAUGUAGUGUGUAAGCCGAGGGUAAAAGGGGGUUUGGGGUUUGGGAAGAUUUCUUUAAGGAAUCUCGCUCUUUUAGGGAAGUGGUUGUGGAGGUAUCUUAGGGAGAGUACAACUCUGUGGCAUCAGGUCAUUCUAAGCAUUUAUGGGACACAUUCAAAUGGUUGGGAUGCCAACACUUUAGUCAGAUGGUCACAUCGUUGUCCUUGGAAGGCUAUUGCACAAGUCUUUUAGGAUUUUUUCAAGUAUACUCGGUUUGUGGUGGGAGAUGGGGAAAGAAUUCGCUUUUGGGAAGAUUUGUGGUGGGGGGACCAACCUUUGAAAUCCCAAUAUCCAAGACUAUUUAGAGUAGUCACGGAUAAAAAUAUUCCUAUAUCUUCAAUUUUCGGUUCUGCUCGCCCUUUCUCUUGGAACUUUAAUUUCUGUCGUAAUCUUUCUAAUUCUGAGAUAGAAGAUCUAGAAUGCCUCAUGCGAUCUCUUGAUUGUAUGCAUUUAUCCACCUCGGAUUCAGAUGCGAGAUCCUGGUCUUUAUCUUCUUUAGGAUUGUUUACAGUCAAGUCUUUUUUUAUAGCCUUGUCCCAAGUGCCUGAUUUAUCUCCUUUUUCCCCUAUUAAGUUUGUAUGGAAUUCUCAAGUCCCUUUCAAAGUCAAGUCCUUUGUCUGGUUAGUGGCACACAAGAAGGUAAAUACUAAUGACUUGCUACAAUUGAGAAGACCCUACAAGGCUCUUAGUCCUGACAUUUGUAAGUUGUGCAUGAAGUAAGGAGAAUCAACAGAUCAUCUUUUCCUACAUUGUUCCUUGUCCAUGGGGUUGUGGCACAGAUUAUUUCAGUUAGUCAAGAUGGAUUGGGUUCCUCCGAGAAGCAUUUCAGACAUGAUGUCUAUCAAUUAUAAAGGUUUUGACACUUUCAAAAGAGGGAUAGUUUUGUGGCAAAGUGCGUACAUUGCUUUAAUUUGGGUUGUGUGGUGGGAAAGAAAUGCUAGGAUAUUUGAGGACAAAGCUAGGAAUUCAGAGAAUCUAUGGGAUUCCAUUCACUUCCUAGCUUCUCUUUGGGCUUAUUGUUCCAUGGUUUUUAAGCGCAUUCCCCUUAACGUGUUACAAAUAGAUUGGCUAGCAGUGUGUAGUUCCAACGGGAUGGUCUAGCCAAGAGAGCUUGUUCAUAGUUUUCAUAGUGUAGUUUUUUGUUCUUUUAUUAUGUUGUUUAGUUUUAUCUUUGGUGGGAGGAUUCCUCAUUCUUUUUUUGUACUUCUUAUUCUUUCAAUAUAUAUAUUUGUUGUUUCCUAUAAAAAAAAAAUAAAAAAAUAUCUCUUUUGCUAUUGAUAAUAACAGAUCUGUCUGUCCAAUUUUAGGCUUCAUUUAGUUGGGUCAUCACCAUCAAGUUUUUUGCCUCCCAUGCUUGAAACGCUGCCUCUUCUUUUUUUAGUGGUUGUGUUGCUCCAUUGAGAUAACCAAACUUUCCCUUGCCUCACAUAAACAUAUUAACAGAUUGAGACCACUCCAAGUAGUUCUAUCCGUUUAGUCUAUGAGAUGUAAUCUGAAGGGAGGGAUUGUCCUAGGUGGUAGCUUGAAACGCAUGUGGUGGCUGCUCAGCAUAUGACUUGGAUGUGGCUUUGUCACUUACACUAGACAUGAUUUUGAACAGCGUUGGAAUAGGGUUUUUUACCAGAAGGAAAAGACAUGAAAGGAAUAGGGUUUAGGAUCAGAGGUAGGCUCUGAUACCAUGAAACCAAAUAUGGACUUAAUCAAUUUUUUUUUUUUUUUUCUAUUAUGAUUUAAAGUGUACAAUUUUAUAUAUAUAGGCUGUACAAGAUGUAUUCAACUAGGAGACUGCCCAAGUGUCAAUCUAUUUAAGGAUAAGAAAUUAAAUUUGAAUUACAUAUCACAGUCCUAAAUUUGGCUCCCUAAAAUAACCAAAUUAACUGAAUCAAAUCUCCUAAAAUAGCCUAAUUUUCAUGCUAGGUUUCAGUUUGUUUUGUUAACAAUUUUAGUUUUAUGAUGGGUUUCUAAUGGUUUUGUGUAGGACAUUUUCCUAAGAAUUCUUUUAGAGGUAGUGUGGUUUAUUUUUCUUCUUGUGUCUUUGUAUGCAAGACAGCUGAUGGGAUAUCUGACCUUGUCUGUCAAUAGAGUUCUGAUUAUCAUAUUGACUAAAAACAUUUAUUAACAAUAUUAAUAUAGAAAUCUCAAGUUUUUAUUUCUCUUGCUUACUUCUUUUGAUACUCUUAACUUUCAUAUCUCUCAUUCAAGUUCAAAAGAAAACUUUAAUAAAUAGUGUGGAAGAAUGUAAUCAGGAAAGAUUAUAGCUGUAUAUUUUUGUAAUUAAGGAGAGGAUUAGGAUAAUCCUAAAAUCAAGGGGAUUCAAUAGAAUUAGGUUAGGAAAGUUUCUAUUUUUUUUGCUAGGAAUACUUGUAUAAAUAUGUGGAUAUGUAUAGGUUGAAAUCAAGAAAGAAAUUUGUUCUUUUUACCUUCUAAUUUUUCUUUUUCUUCAUGGUAUCAAAGCCUUAGACUUGUAAAUCUAGGAAGAGAAGAAUUUUUUUGGCCUUCAUUGUCGAGUUGAAGACCAGAGUCACCCUUCAUUGUUGACCUUAAUGUUCCCUCUUGUUUGAGUCAAAUCGUUGUAGCAAACCCAAAUCACAAACACAACAAAGCAAUCGGAGUCGUCACAUCGUCACUCCACUACUGCAAGAGAAAUCGCAUUGUCACCUUCAUUCACCCUCCCAAUGAGAUCACAUCACCAUUGAGAUUGUGUCACCAUCGUCUUUGGGCCAUAUUCAGCAUAGCUUGCACAACCUAUAAAGAUUGCAAAAAGGACCCCUCGUCAUUGUGACGUUGCUGCCAUCCUCACGCCAUCGUUAUCACGACCUCACACCGCCGACGUCCUUAUGAACUCAUCGCGAAACUGAUAUCGUGCCCUCGGCUUCACACCAGUGACCUUAGCAACAACCUUUGCCGUUGCAUUAUUUUCCUUGUCAUUGAUCUUGUCUCAACCUCACACUAUCAUCUUCUUAGCCUUGUUGUCAUGGCAUUGUCUUAGUCUUGCCUUUGCCUCACGCUGCCACCUUUUCUUGCCAGCUAGAGUUCCAAUACGAGCUUCCGGGAAAAACAUGAAAAAAAAAGAGGCUCGAAUGGUACGAUUCCUCCAUCACCCCAGAAUGAAAGGGGUGAUCUCGUAAUUCUUGGUCUGUGAAGAUGCGUUGUUAGGUGCUCCAUUUUAUUUUCCCAUUGAGGCCGAACCUAAACAUGUGCUCGAGAGAUAGCUGUCCAUACACUGAUAAGGGAUGUAUGGAUUCUUGAGAAGAGAGAUGUCGUGGUGGUCCCCCCCGGACCGCCCGGAUCCCACGAGUGAAUAGAAAGUUGGAUCUACAUUGGAUCUCACUUGAAUCGCCCCAUCUAUCCUCCUGGGGAGAAGUUUGGUUUCAAACCCCGGUUCGAACAGGAGGAGUACGCCAUGCUAAUGUGCCUUGGAUGACCCAAAAACUACUAUUGUUGCCACUCAAUUUGAAGAAAGGAUAAUUACUUACAAUGGAAGGCAGUAGAAGGAUAAUGGACAAGCACACUUGUCUUAUGUUCAACCAAAUGAAGAAAGAUCCUUGAAACAAGGUGGAUUUAAUCAAGUGAAAAUUGAAAAACUGCGAACUUUGUUGAGAACCCUUAAGAAACCUUUAGGUGCCUCUUCAUUGGCACUUUUAGGUAAGUUUCUUAUUUCCAUUGCAUUAAAAGCCUUAGAUGAAACCUUUGUCAAUUCAUGGGUUAUAUAUUUAGGUGCCGUAGAUCACAUGACUCAUUUAUCACACCAAUUUCACAACUAUAACCCUUGUCCAAGUAAUAGGAAAAUAGCCACAAUUGAUGGUUCAUUAACCAUUGUCAUAGGUGUAGAAGAUAUCCAAAUUAGUCUGAAAUGUGUUUCAUGUUCCAAAGUUGUCUACUAAUCUUGUCCCUAUAUAAAAGCUUAGAAAAGAUUUGGGUUGUAAUGUGAUUUUUCACCAUACUCACUGUGUAUUUCAGGACUAGAGUUUGGGGAAGGUGAUUGGACUUGCUAAAGAACAGAACGGGCUAUACUAUCUUGGGACACCAAGCAAACAUUUGUUUCUCUUCUUUAUGAGCACCACAUUUUUAAUAAAGAAAAAAUUUGGCUUCAUCAUCAUAGGCUUGGACAUCCAUUGUUUAAAACUCUUAAGAUCUUGUUUCCUUUUUCGUUUAGAAAAUUAGAUGUUGAGAGCUUUCAUUGUGAGGUAUGUGAAUUAGCCAAACACAAGCGUACAACCUUUUCAAUCAGUAAUAAAAGAAGUUUAGAGCCUUUUUAUCUAAUUCAUAGUGAUAUUUGGGGUCCUUCCCCUAUCUUAAAUAUAUUUGGGGCAUGUUGGUUUGUGUCUUUCAUCGAUGAUUGUACUAGGGGUCUCUUGGAUCUUUUUACUUAAACACAAAUGUGAUGUGAGUUUUGUUCUUCCAAAUUUCUAUAACAUGAUAAAAAACUAGUUUGGUGUCACUAUCAAGAGGUUUUAGUUUGACAACACUAGAGAUUAUUUCAAUUAAGUCCUAACUCUAUACUUUCAUCAUGAAGGUAUAAUUCAUGAGUCAUCAUGUGUAAACACCCCACAACAAAAUGGAGUUGUUGAAAGGAAAAAUGAUCACCUCCUUGAUACAACACGAGUUUUUUUUGUUCAAAAAACAUGUGCCUAAAUCUUAUUUGGGGGAAGCUGUCCUAACCACAUCUCAUAAACCGAUUAUCUUCUAGAGUCUUAGGUUUCAAAAGUCUCAUGGAUACUCUCAUCAUUUUAUCCUAAUAUGAGAACCUCAAAUCAUCUCAUGCCUAAGAUAUUUGGGUGUGUCCUUUGUGCAUAUUCAUAGUCCAAACAAGGGAAAAUUGCAUCCAAGAGUAGUCAAAUGUAUUUUUGUGGGGUAUGCAUCAACUCAAAAGGGAUAUAAAUGUUGCCAUCCACUAUCCAUUUUUUUUUUUUUGUCUUAGUUGAUGUUACCUUCAAUGAAAGCAAGUCUUAUUUUCCUGCUUCUUAUCUUCAGGGAGAGAAUUCCAUCAAGGAAGACAAAGAUCGAGAUUCUUCUUUCAUUGAUCCCUUUCUCAUUGACUUUUUUAAAGUGUCUGAUCCAGUAUUUGUACCUUUCAUUGACCCUACUGACCCUCCUAAAAUGUCUGAUCUAUUAUUUGUACCCUUCUAUGAACCCGAGUCAUCCAUUGAGCUUGCUCUUGGGAAUCAAAUGACUGACAAAGUGUACUCAAGGAAGAAAGUUGCAGUCCCUCAACUUAUGCAAGUUCAAGAAUCUAAACCAACUUCUGGAAAUGAGCUAAUAGUCCCUCAUCCUCUCUUACAAACUGAGUUAGAACUUCAGUCUGAAAGACCCAUGAUCAAAACUUUCCCAUUGCCAUUAGGAAGGGAACGGGGAAAUGCACUAAAUGUCCUUUGUAUCCAUUUUCCCAUGUGGUGUCAUUCGAAAAAUUCUCUCAAUCCCAUAAGAGUUUUCUUACAAGUUUGAACAAUAUUCAUAUUCUUGUCACUUUAUCCGAGACUUUAUCUAAUAAAAAUUGGAGAUAAGCCAUGAAUGCAGAAAUGGAGGCCCUGGAGAAAAAUAAAACUUGGGAGUUGGUAAAUUUGCUUGUAGGAAAAUGGUUAGUGGGAUGUAAGUGGGUCUAUACUAUUAAGUAUAGGGUAAAUGAGACAUUAGAGAGGUACAAGACGAGAUUAGUGGCUAAAGGAUACAUUUAGACAUAUGACGUGGAUAAUCUAGAGACAUUUGCUUCGAUUGUCAAGAUGAACAAAGUUAGAAUUUUCUUAUUAUUAACAGCAUAUUAUAACUGGGAUUUACAACAGUUCGAUGUAAAAAAUGCAUUUCUAAAUAAAGAUCCGGAAGAAGAGAUUUAUAUGAAAAUCCAUUAUGGAUUUGGAAGUGACUUAGCCACUAAAAAGGUGUGUAAACUGAAGAAAGCUCUAUAUGAGUUGAAACAGUCUCCAAAGGUGUGGUUUGGAAAGUUUGGUAAAGUGAUGAAAAGCAUGGGAUACAGAGAAAGUCAAGGAGAUCAUACGUUGUUCAUCAAGCAUUCGGAUUCAGGAGGGAUUACAACUGUUCUGGUAUAUGUAGAUGACAUUAUUUUGACGAGAAAUGAUGAAAAUGAGAGACAGACUUUGAGGCAAUGCUUGACCAAGGAGUUUGAGAUUAAAGAGUUAGGAAAGUUGAAAUACUUUCGAGGAAUUGAAGUUGCACAUUCUAAGCAGGGAAUUUUUAUUUCUUAGCAAAAAUAUGUAACAAACCUCAAAGAAAUAGGGAAGUUGGCAUGUAAACCAGUAAACACACCAACUUGGACAGGUUGAGGAAGAUGUUGCGAUAGAUAGAGAGAUGUAUUAACGUCUAGUAGGAAGAUUUAUUUAUCUCUUUCACAUAAGACUAGAUAUAGCAUAUGCUGUGAGUGUGGAUUAGCCAGUUUAUGCACAUUCCAAAGGAGGUUCUUCUGCAAGUUGCUAACCGAGUGCUACAAUAAUUUAAGAGGCCUCCAGGAAAGGGGAUGCUAUUUAAAUGAAACUCAGGAUUGGUACUUAAAGCAUACACAUAUGCAAAUUAUGCUGGAUCUGUGGUUGACAGAAGAUCAACCAUUGGGUAUUGCACUUUUCUUGAUGGAAAUCUGGUAACAUGGAGAAGAAACAGAGCUUGGUGGCAAGGUCCAGUGUAGAAAUAGAAUUUCGUGCAAUGGCCCAAGGAAUUUGUGAACUACUAUGGUUAAAGAUGAUUUUGGAAGAUUUGAAGAUAAAAUAGGAUGACCCAAUGAGAUUUUGCUGUGAAAAUAAAUCCACAAUUAGUAUUGCACAUAAUUCUGUGCAACAUGGUCGAACGAAACACAUAGAGAUAGAUAGACAUUUUAUUAAGAAGAGACUAGAUAGUGGGUUGAUCUAUACUCCUUAUGUAUUAGCUAACUGCCAACUUAUAGAUAUACUCACUAAAGGUUUAAGUAGUACAAUGUUUCAAGUAAGUGUAUCCAAGCUAUGAAUAAAAAACAUCUACCCACCAACUUUAGGGGGAGUGUGGAAGAAUGUAAUUAAUAAAUAUUAUUGCUGUAUAUUUUUGUAAUUAAGGAGAGGAUUAGGAUAAUCCUAUAAGCAAGGGAUUUGAUAGAAUUAUGUAAGGAAAGUUUCUAUUUUUUGUGCUAGGAAUACUUGUCUAAAUAGGUGAGUAUGUACAGAUUGAAAUCAAGGAAGAAAUUUAUUCUUUGCACUUUCCAAUUCCUCUUCUACAAAUAGAAGAACACUUGUAUUACUAACUUUUCAUAUCUGUUUGUUUGCCUACAACUGAAAAAAGAAAGGGGGAAUAGCACUAGUAGUAUAUGACACUACAUGUUUCUUCCUCUACAAAAAAUUAUGUGAAAUGUAUAUUUUAUUAAUAUAUGUGUGUAUAUAUAUAAUUUUUUUUUUAUAUUCUCUGUCCUAGUUUAAAAAAAAAAAAAAUUGUCUAUGCUACAAAGAAGUGAAAGUGAUUGUGCACUUGUUUCCGUUUUUUCCUGUUUCAGUUCUCAAUUUUUUUUCAUCAUAAAUAAUUGUGCAACUUUUUGUAGGUGAUUUACUCAGAUGAGGAGCGCAAAUUCAACAAAGAUAUUAUUAUUAGCCUUAUUCGCAGUGAAUUGCUGAACCUUGCUGAGUAUAAUGUUCAUAUGGCAAAACUUGUUGAUGGAGGAAGGAAUAGUAUGUUUGAGAAGUAUUAUUUUAAAUUCUUUAAUAUUAGAGAAGUUGACAUAGCUAAUUAGUUGUGUAAAAUAUACAGAAGCUGCAACAGAGUUUGCCUUUUCUCUUCUCCAAACUUUGGUGAUUGAAGAACGUGGAGUCAUUUCAGAACUUCCCAAUCUUGUUGAUGCAAUGGCAAAGGUUUUUUUUUUCAUUUAUUUUGUGUAAAGCAUGUAUUUCAUUAAUCUUCCACUUUCUAAAUUGAUUUCUGACUUGAAGAUUGCGAGUAAGCCUGGAUCUCCUGAGUCAUUGCAACAAUUGAUUGAGAUUGUCAAGAGUCCUGUUGCUAAUAUGGAUGCUCUAUCUGUUAAUUCUCUUGGAAAGGAGGAUAAGACAAGACAAUCUAGAGACAAGAAGGUUAUGGUAGAAUCUUAAGUUUUUCCUAUCUUUCCUAACAUUUUUGUAGAAUCCUAAAAUUCUUUCUUUGUGCUGUGGCAGGCUCCUAUCCACUCUGCAGCCACCAGGGAAGAACAUAACAAUGGAGAACCUGUGGAACAAGAUCCUACUGGUUUUCGUGAGCAGGUUUUUUUCCUUAACCUAUCUCUGCUCAAUAUUUUCUUUAUGAUGUUUAGAUAUUAAAAAAACGUUUUUUAUUUUUUUAUUUUUUAUUUUUUAUUUUUAUAGGUAAAUGGAGAUUGUAUUAAUUUUAAAAAGUAUACAUGACAUAUACAAAACAAACAAAAAAAUAUGCAAAAACAAGUAAUUGCACCCUAUGAAGAGCCUAACCAGUCUGCAAAAUCUAAUAGUGACAUAGAAUUAUCUCCAAUGUACAAUCUAACCCAAUCCUAAAAGAGAUACAAAAAAAAAAAAAAAAAAAAAACGUUUAAUUGUUUGGUCCAAACUUUCACAAUUCUUAAAGACUUUCCUAUUUCUCUCCCUCCAAAUGGACCAAAAAAUGCAUAAAGGAGUAACUUUCCAAGCCUUUUUCCUUUUUUUGCCAACAAAGGAGCCACCCCAACUAAAGAACACCCUUCUCACAGAAGAGUGAAACACCCACUGUACACCAAAAAUAGCAAAAAUUAGCUGCCACAAAAUGCGAGCUUUUGGAUAGUGAAAGAGAAUAUGAUCACCCUUUUCUUCUUCUGCUUUGCACAUAUAACACCUAUUAGGCAUCCUCCAACCCUUCUUUUUGAGCUGAUCCUGAGUCAAUAUCUUAGCUCAAGUUGCUUCCCAAGCAAAAAAGUUAGCUCUUACAGGAGCCCAAGAGUUCAAGACUAUACUAUAAGGGAAAUGCUUUGCUCUCCUACUUGCCAAGCAGUAGAAGGACUUAAUUGAAAAUUCACCGUUCUUUGUCUCCAACCAAACCAUAACAUCAUCAGUACCUAAAGAGAUGGAGUGAUUAUGCAACCUCCUAAAAAAGACAUCUAUUUCCUCUAACUUCCAAUCAUUCAAUUGUCUAAUAAACCUAGGAUCCCAACUAUCCCCAUCCCAAUCAUCAACCACUGAAGCAUCUUUUGAAGAGGCUGUAGAAUAAAGGUCUGGGAAAGAAUCUCUCAAAGAAAAAUUCCCACCCCAUUUAUUCUUCCAGAACUUCACUUUGUUUUUGAUUGCCUUCCAAAUCCCCACUUCAUACCUCUCUCUCACCUCUUUUGUGCACCAACCCCCAUCCUCUUGCCUUACUUACCAACAAUUACUUGUUUCCGAAGAGGAUUCCUUUCACAUAUAAAUCUCCAAGACCAUUUUCCCAAAAGAGCCUUGUUGAGGAUCGAAAGGCUUCUAAAAACCCAAGCCUCCUUUUUUGUUUUUCCAAACAAAUUGAAUUGUGGUUAUUAAAAAUCUAAAACUGGGGAGGACCUUAAAAGCUUAGUUUUAAAAGUUGUACCAAAGGCGCAAAAGCCUCCUACAACUUAGGAGUAAGGUGCAGCACAAGGGGUGCGCUUGAGUCAAGUGAAAUGCAACCUAGGAUGCAUAUCAAUUUUAUAAAAUACGAUUUAAAAUAUAAUUCAAUCAAUAACAAAAUUAAGAUUUAAAAGAAGCAUGCAAUAAAAAAGUGAGGAAAUUUAUACAUUAUAUAAAUUUCAAUAUAUAAUUAAAAAUUUCAAGAAUAAAAAGUGUUUAAAAAGGAAGAGCAAAGUCAACAAGGCAUGCCUCUUCAAUAAGGCACCUAUCUUGACUAGCGAGGCGCUAUAACUAGGGAGCGGUUGUGCUUUUAGCCUAGGUGCACUUAAAGCACACCUUUUAAAACUAUGCUCAAAAGUGUUUGUUCUAUUGGAAAUCCUUUCUGAUGUGCGAGUUCCCAAAACAUAUAUGCUCAUCCAUAGAUCUUGAGUUCACUAUAGGUAAGAUAGAAAUAGAUGACAUGCCAUGAACGAUUUUGAUCAAUGCAUAUGAGGCUCCUUGUCUUUUUCUAAUCACCAUCUAGUAGCUUGUCCUUGUGGCCAUGAUAAGUUAGGGUUUUCCAUGUAGUUUAAUAUCUGGCUCUUGCAUGGAUAGAGGAGUAUUUUUUAUCUUUAGGAGUGAGAACAUGGUCAGCCCCUGUGUACAUAGGGUGCACUCCUGUUUGUUAGGUACCCUCUAUGAAUGUUUGUCUAUAGAGAGAGCUGGAGAGAGAAUGAACAUGGUUAAUCCGUGUCUAAUCUAAAGAAGGGAGUAAGUUAGGUUGAGUGAAAUGAGGGAAACAAUUGUUGUCAGAUGACAAAAUAUUUCUUAGUGGUUGGUCUUUGUGCCUAAGAUUAUGGCUUAUGGAGGAUUUGUUAUUCAUAUGCUCAUAAGCUAUGGAGGAGUAACUAGGAGAGGAAUUAGAGAAUUUUCACUUCCAAUGUAUAAUCUUCUGCAUUGAAUAUGGCUGAAAUUACUCGGUAUAUCAAAAAGAAUGUCCCAUUAGUCACAUGAUGUGAGCUGUUUACUAUUGACAUGGAUUUGGUUAGCUGAACUACAUUGAGGCUUAAUUCUUAGUUUUUCUAAAGACUUUGGUUAAGAAGGAUUAAAAUAAAAUGUAUGAAAUUUAAUUUCAGUAAAACUAGGAGCAAAGAUAAGACUAAAAUCUGCCAUUCAGUCUUUGGUCAAGGAAAGUGAGACUGAGGACAUUGUCCUUCAAGUAAAGCAGGAUGGGUGAAAGAGGAGAAUUGGUCCGGAGUUUGGUGAGAUUAUGCAAUACAUCUCAGUUGAGGUGCAAAUGUAAAAAGGAACUAAAAAGACAACAAACUUUUCAUAUUAUAGAAAAUUGAGCAGCUAAAGAACAUUUUGAAAAUGAGUUCAUCCAACUUAUGAUGUUAAAUGAUUAUCACGAACAGUAAUACAAAGUAUUGGUUUAGUUCUAGUUGAAGAUGCUAAGAGGAUAAGAGAAAUAUGGGACUAUACAUUAAGAAGAGAUUAUGAUUUUUUGUAGCUAAUCCAAUGAGUUGGGAUAUGUCUUUUCACCUGUGUGUGUGUGCUUUGUCUUCCUUCUUGGUUUGGAAAUAAACCUCAUUCCAUGUGUGCUUGCUUUCGUUUCCUUUUUGUUAGGGGGUGAAUCUGCUUCCCCAUCCAUGUGUGUGUGUCAUCUUCUAACCACUUUUCUUGGCUAAUAUGUAAUUUAUUUAUAGGUUUGUACUUUUCCAUUUUUUGUUUGAGGGAAAACCUCUUCUUUUGUGUUUUCUCCCCCUUUUAUUCUAUAAAAUUAUAUCUUAUUAUUUAAAAAUCCCAUUUAUGUCCAUUUUAUGUGGAAUUAUAAUUAAGAAGAGAGAAGGGAAUAAUUUGGUUUACAGGUUUAUUGGUUUUGGUUGAUGUUGUGAAAGGAUAAAAGGAAGAUUAAAUGGAGUUGGCCAAGGCUAUAAGAAACCAUAUGAUUGCUAUGGAUCCAAUAAAGGAUAAGACCAUAGAUAGAGUUGAAUGACUAAGGGCUUGUUUGCUGGUGUUUUUGAAAACAAGUCUCAAAUAUGAAAGAUUAACUUUCUCAGUUUAUUCUCUAGGAAGACAUUGUGCACUUAUAUAGAAUAUGAAAGUUUCUAACCUAUUAUCCCUGCUUCCAUUUAUUUCUCAUAAUGCUUUGUAAAUAAACACCUAAAAAUACCUCAAAUUGAUUCUAAAAAUCCAUUCUAUUUUGAGAACAAAUUCUCAAAAAAUUGUUUUCUAUUCAAAAUUUGAAAAAUGUGUUUUUGAAGUUGGAAAACUGUUUUACGUUCCAAAAAGCAGAAAACUUUUUUUAAUAAUAGUUUCCAAACAGGCACUAAAAGCUCAAUAAGAGCUUGUGUACUUGUUUGUCUAUUUUGUUUUUUUUUUUUUUUGCUUUUUCAAAGUAGCAUAUGACUUUAGUAAGAACUUAAUAUGAAAGCUUGGAAAAUGUUAGUACUUGUGUGACAAUGGUUUCAAAAACUGUUUUUUAAGAACAGUUUUUGAGGCACAAUCUUCAGAAAUAAUUCUCAAUUGUUUUUAAGAACAAAAUUCUAUUUGGGAACUCAAACACAAGAAGCAGAUUUUAUGGUUUAUUCUCUGUGAAGGUAUUUGUCCAUUUGUGCAAUGCAAAAGUUUCCAAACAGGCCCUUAGCUUUUCAUAAAGCUUUAUUUUGGUUUGUGCAAAAAGUUAUUUCAUGUUUAAUGAAACUCUCACAAACCAAUUUUGCCUUAGAAAAUUAUGACUUUGACUUAGAUUUUAGCUUCCAGCUAAAGUGAAAAACAAGAACAAUCCCUCAGAGGGCCUAAAUAAGAUUCAUGUAGCCAGGUCCAAUGAAUUGAGAUUAAUGCUGAGUUGAGUUUUACAAGUACCACAAGUUGAUUAUUUUUUUUCCUUUUCCUUCUAUAUGGGAGACGGGAAAGGAGAGUUGAUAAAUUGUACUUCAGAAUUUAGAUUAAAGUUAACUGUAAAUAAUUACUAAAGAUAUUUGCCACACAUUUAUAUUUGUUUUUUACUACUUAUAUUGCUAUCCUUUUAAAAUUUGCUACCUUGUCUUGCUUUGUGCAUUUGGAUGGGGCAUAACUGAAUGUGAAAAGGUGGAACCUUCAUCAUCAAAGUUGAAAGUAUAUUAUCUUGAAAUCCAUGUUUGCAUGAUCAUUAAGGUCUUUGGCGGAUAGGAGAACCUCAUUUCUUGAUUUUGUUAAUAACAUGCACUAUUCCAGGGUUUAAUGUUUGCUUUUUCUUUUUUCUUUUUUCUUUUUUAACUGUUUUUUUAAUAAUUUUUGGUGUGUUUAUUCUUUGGUGUCACUUGUUUACUAUCUGUGCACUUCGCUCAUGCCUCCUUCAGUUUUCCGUGCUUAUGAAAAAUUUGGUACCUGUAAACUCUGUAGGUUUCCAAGCUGUUUGUGGAAUGGUACCGCAUAUGUGAACUUCCUGGUACAAAUGAUGCAGCUUGUGCACAUUACGUCUUGCAGUUGCAUCAAAAUGGACUGCUGAAAGGAGAACAUAUAUCUGAUCGCUUUUUCCACCUGCUUAUGGUGAAUCUUUCUUUUUUUUUUUUUUUUUAUUCCUUUGAGGUUGCAGAGUAGUACCCAUAGUGCAGUUGCAUAUUUACCUUGAUCUGUCUAUCUCAGGAAAUUUCUUUUUCACAUUGUCUUUCUUCUGAGGCAAUCAUUACUGGUCCACUACAAUCACAUCAGCAAGUGCAUAGCAUGUCCUUCUUUGCCAUUGAUAUCUUUUCAAAUCUUGUGUUUUCAAUCCUGAAGGUAAGUGUAUUAUAUAUGGGUGUAUUUCAGUUUUUGAAUAUAAUUUUCAUAUCCUUAACAACUUAACUUGUGAUUUUCUCUAGUAUUCUCCCGUGGACCAGGGAUUCAGUAAAUUCAAUCUCAUUUCCAAGGUUUGACUCCAGACUAAAAUUUAUGAGCCCUUGUCUUGCUCAUCUUGGAACAAUGUUCUACACUGUUUAUAACUGGUAUAUUACAGAUUCUGGCAGUAACCGUGAGAUUUAUUCAAAAAGAUGCUGAGGAGAAGAAAACAUCUUUUAAUCCAAGACCGUAUUUCAGAUUUUUCAUUAAUUGGCUAUCAGAACUUGGUUCCCCUGAUCCUGUCUUUGAUGGUGCAAACUUUCAGGUAGUCAUUCUUUGCAUUUACUCUUUCAUUGCUCUCUCUCCCUCUCUCUGCCCUCGUUCUCAUUUUAAAUUGAUGAUGUCACAGGUUUUGAUAACCUUCGCUAAUGCAUUUCAUGCUUUGCAACCCCUCAAAAUUCCUGCAUUCAGGUUAGCAUAAAAAACUUGCUUUAUUAACUGCUCUAAUUAUGCAAUUCUUGUUAAUGAUGAAGCCUAGGGUUGGUUUAAGGCUUAGAGGGAAAUUUACGAUGUGGUCCCUCAUCUUACUUUAUUUUGUACUUUGUUUGAGUAGAUGCUAAUUGGGGUCAUUAUCAAGGCAAAGAAAUAGAACACUGAAGGCUGUUUAUAGGACAGAGAUAUAGUUCAGAUUUUAUAUUUAUUUGCUUUUUUCUGGUGAUGCAAUUUUCUUUUCUACAUCCAACCAUGAACAAAUGAGAAACCUGUAAUUUUUUUUUUUUUUUUUUUUUUUGAAAGUCAUAUUGUCCCUUGAAAUAAGUUUUUCUGAGAACUUCUUUGCUGCCAUUAAUUGGAGAUCAAAGUUUAAUUCUUAGGGGGCAAAAGUAGAUCUUUGUAGGUGUAUAUUUUUUUUAUUUUAUUAAGUUGGCCCUUGCCUGCUUGGUUGUGAACACAUCUUUGUCUUAAGAUGGUAUUUGAGGUGUAGAUUUGAAAAGUUUCAGAGAGAUCCAUGGCUCAGAUUUGAAGAGGAGAAGACUGUAACUUAGUGUAUUUGUAUACUUUUCCUCUUCAAAUGUAUGAUUUUAUGUGCUAUUCGGUAUUAAUAAUGUGGUAUAGGCACACUAAUGAUGUAAAGGGUUUCCCUGGGACGGAAAGCUUUUAUCAUACAGUGACAAUUAGCAUAUAGGAACUCGUUCUAAGGAUUAGGCUCCAGUACCCCUAGGAUUAACAUAGUUCACUUUAGUUUGUGGUCAGGAUGUAAGACAAAUCAAUUGCUCAGAACACAUUGUUUUUCUUCUUUUCAAGACCCUAAUAUAAUUGAGAUGCAACCAAAUUCCCUUUAGAAUCUUCAAUUUCAACUUCCAAUGUGAUAUUAGUGAAUGGGAAAUGCGUUUCAAUUCAUUACUCAACUUGCUGAAUGAUUUCCUCUUCUCCUCUGCAUUUCAUGAUGCUAGAGCUCAGGAAGUGCAGUCCCUUCUCUUAGAUUUGUUAUACCAAGUGGCCCCAAAAGUUAGGCACUUGCAUGGCUGGUGUCCAUUAAGAGACUUAAAGUUAUAUUAGAAAAGGAGAGGAACCAACAAGGCUAUCUGUCAUCAUAGAAACCUUGGGUCAAUUUUUUUGAUAUCAAGGAUGAAACUAUCUAUAUCGACAAAAAUAUUGGCGGUUUGAUUUUAUAGAAAUAUCAAUGGAAAUAUUGAUAUUGAUAACAAUAUAAGUGAGAGAAAUCGCAAAAAGACCUCCAAACAUGAAAUUUUUGGAUUAAACUAUUUUUUUAAUAAAGUACGAUAUAUAUGAUAAAAUUAGUAUAAUUAGUUAAUAUGGAGUGUAUGCUGGUAACAAGUAAGCUUUUGAAAGUGUAUGCUAAUCACUAAUGCAGGGAUAAAUAUAAAAAUUUCAUUGAAUGGCAAUAUUUAAGAACACAUUACAUUUAAUAUUAAAAAAUGACCUAUAUGAUUCAAAGGUAGUUGAUAAUAAUGGGAUACAUGAGAGAAGGAAAUAAGAGAGGGAAGCCAAAUGAGAGAAAAAUGAGAGACAAGUGUUCAAUGAGAGAAAGAUAAGAAAGUUUAUUGAAAUUUGGAGUCCAACCAACAGCUUAUUAAUGGAAAUGUUGAUAUUUUCCUGAAAUAUCACUAAAAUAUGGGAAAUUGUCAUCAAUAUUUUGACAUAUUUUGUUUUAUAUUUUUCUCAUUUUGGCUGUAUUGAUAUUUUGAGGAAAUUUUGGUGAUACCUUGAGGAAAUUUUUCCAAUUUCCAUUUACCUCCACCUUUUACUUUGUUACCCCCAAAUUAUGCAUAUUCCUGCAGAAAUAUUAGUGGAGAUAUUGGUUUUUCCUCUUUAUUGGAUAUAACAUUGUUGUUUUAGUGUCAAGGCCAAUUUUCAAGUUUAUCUCAUGAUGCUCAAGACAUUCUCAAUUGGUGUAAGUGCUUGCUCCUUCCCAACUCUAGCCAUAGCAACAUAUAUAGAUGGGAAAAGCCCAAAAGGUUCCCUGAGUUCAUGACAUAGGCCUAGGCCAAAAAAGUCUUUCAUGUUUGACCCAUAUGGCUUAAAGGGCCUGAGUUUUGAUUUGACCAUAAUGGGCCUGAUCUGUGAUGGAAUUUUGUACUUUCAGGUGCUACUUGUCUCGGUGAUCUCCUCGAGUCUAGGCCAGCAUCCCUAGGUUUUCUAUGAUCUGACUUGGUAUCUACUAGGCUUGAAUGGAUUAAUCUUGCAUGACAUGUCCAAUUGCUUGCUUCAGUUCUCAUCUGUAUCUUCAUUGUGAUAUGGUCUAUUCCAUUUGGAAGGACUUUGUUCUGGCCAUGGAUGCCUCUUUUUGGUCUUCCUUCCUUUGUUGUCUAUUAAUCUCUAAGUUUUGCAGGGUAGGAAUAUGGUUGAAUAAGUGCGUAGGAAUGUCAACCACCUGAGUUUGGAACAAAGUGGCCAUAUCUUGUCUUGAUCAUUCUCUUGGAGGGGUGAUGCCCUUUCAUAUAUGUCAUAAACCUGGUCCAGGGCAUGACAAGAUAAAUAUUGGAGUUCACGAUCAAACUUAAUAGUCUCAAUCAUGUAGACAUAAGAGUGAAUAAUGAUUGCCUCACCUAUUUAAGGAACACUCUAGCUAUAAAAAAUAUAAGAUCUUCAUGUUUGUCUCAAUAUUGGUUGUAGAGGGGUACACUUUACCUACUCAUUGAUUACCACAUAUAAUUCAUGUCUUUAAUAAGAUAAGGACAUGUAUCACAUGAGGCCCGCACAAAGGAAGAUUGAUAUUCUCAUCAAAUAAAAAAGAAAUUAAUUAAGUUUGAUAAUUAUAAAACUAUAAUUAUCAAUUAAUUAAAUUUGGAUAAUUUUCAUGAAUAUGAUUAUCAUAAUAAUAAUUAUUAUCAUUAAAAAUUAAGAGAUAAUUUCAAAGAUGAUUUCUCAAUGCCUAUAAAUAAGGGGCCUCCUCCUUGGUUCUCAAAAGACACUUGUAGACUUUCAUGCUUGACAACAGUUGGAGAGAACUCACCUUAAGGAUUCAAGAAGCUCUUCAAACCUUCUAAGAUUCAAGAACAAGUUUAAUCCGCUUCAACGAUUCAAGAACCUCCUCAAGCCUCAAGGAUUCAAGAAGCUCUUCAAGACUUCAAAGAACAAUUUUGAAGGUCUAAUGAACAAGACUGAAGCAUCUUCAAUCCAAGAUCAGACAUUCAUGCUCUCGAUCAAUGUUAUUCAAGUCUAACUAAGGUCCAAGUCUAGACCUAAGACAAGUCAAGAUACAAGCCUAGGUCAAGGCCCAAGUCAAGUUCCUCCUUAGCCAUUAAUUAUAAAUGAAGAAUCAUAGGUUAACAUAGAGGUUUCACUCUCAAUUACAAUCAAUAAAAAAGAAUUAAUUUGUUUCCCAAUUUUCUAUUUAAGAGGAAUUUGUGUUUACAAAUUUCUUGUAUAUCCAGUUAGAUAAUCUCUAUCUUUCAUAUCUUCUUUGCAAAAGAUUUAUGCUUCAUCAAUUCUAAGAAAAACUCAUCCAACAAGCAAGGAGUUAGAUUUGCAUGGUCUAGUCCUAUUGAAGUUGCUACCUCUAAGGUAAACUCUAGUUUCAUUAGGCUAAGCAAAGUGAAAGGUGCUUCUCAACAUCAAAUCAAGAAGAUUCCUUUUUGGAUUCAAUUGCAAAAUUUGGAGUAACUUCACCCAAGAAUCUAAUCUUACUAUUUUUAAAAAGUAUUACAUACCCAUUCAUGUCUCAAGAGACAUUUUUAAGCCAUAAGUCCUUGCUUACCCAAGAAAACAAGUAUGAUACUAGAUCUAUUGUUGCAUCUUCACAUGGAUCUCGAUAAAGGAUUCUUGCAACAUCAAUUAAUAUAAUCAUGGUAGUUAUGGUGUUUGAAGUAUAUUCUAUUGAAGAGCAAGUUAUAAAAAUAGCUAGGGCUAUUGAAGAACUUACGGUAAAAAUUCAAGAACAAGAUGUCAAAAUCAAUCAUAAGCUAGGACUUGUAACAGGACCAGCAAAUAAUGCUACACAUUUAAAUCAAAAUACAUCUCAAGAUAACCUUAAAAACUACUCAAAAGGAAAAGAUUCUUCCGAAGAAAUUAAAGUUUCUUCAAAUAGGUUUAUCCCUACAAAUCAACUGAGAAACCUCAUAAUAGAGAUGAUGAACAAAUAUCUAAUGUGCUUCUCUUAUAUACACAAGAUCAUAUACAAAACGAAUUGAGUUAAUACUUAACACUAAUGCCACUAGGCUACCAAUUGCUAAAAAAUGAAUAUUUUGAUGGGAAGGAAUAGUUGUUUCUGAACUUCUACACUCAAUCAUACUCCAGAAACCAAAAAAAAAAAAAAAAAAAGUUUAUUCUCCAAGCAAGACUUGAUGCAAGGCAACUUAGUAUAUUCAUAUUGAACAACAAAUGGAUCUUGCAUAUUUAACAUGUGGUAGACAACUCAUAAGAACUCAUGUGUUCUAUUUUUUUUUUUUUGAUAAAUAAAAGGAAGUAUAUUAAUCAAAAAGAGGAAACACCAAAAACUAGUGCCCUCAAAGUAUACAGGUAGUAUACACACCGUCUUCCCUUACUUAGAGCCUAUCAAGUCUAAAAAAUUUACAAGAGAAGAAGGACUCAAAACUAAGGAAACCCUGACCCAAGACCAAGGAUUACAUACAAAGAAUAUUUCAAUCUUUGUAGUGAAAGCUCCUCAUUCCCAAAAGCUAAUCUAUUCUUCUCUUUCCAAACUGACCAAAAUAUACAUAAGGGAGCCAUUUGCCAAGCCUUCUUGCGACCUUUCCCCACAAACACUCCAUUCUAUCUAAGAAGAGUUUCCUUUACUGUACAUGAAAGAGUCCAAGACACACCAAAAAGGGAGAAAAGAAGAUUCCACAAGACCCGCGUCUUAGCACAAUGAAGUAAGAGGUGAUCCACCGUUUCUACUUUAGAUAGGCAAAGAAAGCACCUGUUUGCCAAAGAGAACCCCCUCCUUUGAAGUUGCUCCAAAGUUAAGACUUUACCCCAGGAAGCCUCCUAAGCAAAGAAAGCUACCUUCAGAGGCACUCUUACUCUCCAAAUACUUUCGCUAGGGAACAUAGAAGAACCCCCGAGCUCCAAAAUAGAAUAAAGAGACUUGAUUGAGAAAGCACCACCAUUUGAAGCUGUCCAGAUCUCUCUAUCUUCCUCCUCUCUUUGCACCCGGAAAGCUUGGAUCUUACGCAAAAAAAACUCCACCAACUCAAUUUUCCAAUCAUUAAACGCCCUUGCAAAAAGAGGAGUCUAGCCAUCCCCAUCACCAAUGGGGUUCCAAACCUCCGAAACCCAAGCAUUCUCAGACAAGGAGAUGGAAAAUAAAGAGGAAAAGGACUCACAAAGUGGUUCAUCACCACACCACUUGUUCGUCCAGAAUCUCACUCUCUGCCCACUACCCACACGGUAGGCUAACCCACCAUCUAAAAGCAACCACUCCUUCCUAAUUGCUUUCCAAAGCCCAACAUCGUAUCUCCCAUUUACUUUCCGAGUACGCCAUCCCCCCUCCUCUUCACCAUACUUGUGACUUAUGACUUGCCUCCAAAACGCCUCUCUUUCAUUAGCAUACCGCCAAUUCCACUUAGAGCACUAAUUAUCAGAGCUAAAUUUCUCACACCUAACCCACAUUUCUUUUUAUCCAAGCAAAUCAAGUUCCACCUGACAAGGUGUGGCUUUUGGACGAGAGCUCCUCCACUCCACAGAAAAUCCCUCUGAAUCUUCUCCAAUCUCAACCUCACUUUUCUUGGCAAGUAGAAGAGAGACAUAAGUAUAAAGGCAUGCUAGAAAGAGUAUUUUGGAUUAGGGUGAGUCUCCGUCCUUUAGAUAUAUACUGCCUCUUCCACAUAGCAAGCCUUCUACGAAAACGCUCUUCAACCCCAUCCCACACAGCCAUUGAUUUGAAAGGUGCCCCUAAAGGCAAACCCAGAUAACAGGAAGGGAGCCCACCCAUUUUACAACCCAACUCCAUGGCUAAACCCUCUAUAUCAUGCACCUUACCCACUGGGAUCAACUUACUCUUCUCUAAGUUGAUCUUCAACCCUGAACAUGCCUCAAACCACAUGAGAAGCCAACUUAGAUAAGUCAUCUGAUCUAAAGACUCCUCACAAAAAACCAACGUGUCAUCCGCGAGUAACAAAGUGACAUAUAUUUAAACUUCUUAAAUCAAAUAAAAAAAAUCAAACUUAGACUAAAUAUCAAAACAAAAUGGAAAAAAUUUCAAAUUAAGGAGACAAAGUCCUUGAGAAAAAUAUAUUUUUUUAAAAUAAAAGAAACAAAUUCCUUGAACCACGAGAGUCAAAUUUGGAGAUUUGAAAUUAAAAUUUUCCAAUAUAUCCCGUAAAUAUGUGCCUUUCUUCAACAUUGGGAUUCCCCGAAAAAAAGAAGAAAAUGCAACCUCAAAAUCUGAUGUGAAAAAAAAGAAAAGAAAAGAAAAAGCUUUAAAAGCUAUGAUCAAACUUGAAACAAUCUUCAACAAACAAGUCCAAGAAUAUUGGGCAUGAUAAAAAAGUGUUAUUUGUCUACCUUUAAGAUUGAAGAAGACAAAGUCAGAAUCUUUUUUUUUUUUUUUUUUUUUGUUCAAAAUGUUAAGAAAGUUCUUCACUAGUUUAUUUGGAAAUAACUCAUGGUUUCAACUUCAUUCCAAGAACACAUGUCUAUCACUGUUGGAUCAAAAUCAAGACUAUGUUGUAAGCAUCUUCAACAGGCCAAUGGAAAAAUAUUAAACAAAAUAUAAAAGUGUCAUCAAUGCACCUUCAAGGCCAAAGUUGAAGACAAAGUCAAAUUUUUUCUUCAAAACACUCUAGGAAAGUUCAUUACAAGUUAACUCAAGAAUAAGUCAUAGCUAGCCCUUGAUUAAGCUCAGUUCUAAGAAUACAAAGUCACUGUUCAUGGAUCAAAAUUAGCACAUGUCAUGCUCCUUAAAGCAUGAGCCUAAAUUGCUUAAAACUCCUAGCUUUCACUAGUUUAACAAAAAAAAAAAAAAGCUAGAAAACCUAAAAAGACAAUCUAGGCAAAAAAUUAUCACAUGCUCUCAAUAAUGAAAACCAAAAAACAAAAAAAAUUCUUGGCAAAAAUUAGAGGACAGAAAUCAGAAUGCUUUGAAAAGAAAAAGAUUAUCAUGAAAACAAAUUAUUGUAAUAAUAGUAAUUAUCAUUGAAAAUUAAGGGAAAAACAUUGAAUAGAAUUUCUCAACUAUUCUGACUUUCAAAAGAGCCCGCCUCGAGGAUUCAAGAAGCUCUUCAAGCCUUGAAAGAUUCAAGAAAAAGUUCAGCCUGCCUUGAAGAUUCAAGAACCUCUUUAAGCCUCGAGGAUUCAAGAAGUUCUUCAAUCCUUACUAGAUUCAAAACGCUCUUCAAGUCUUUGAAGAUUUGAAGAUCUUAAGAACAUGUUUGAAGUAUCUUCAAUUUGAGAUCAAGCAUUCACGCUUUUGGUCAAUGUUACUCAAGUCCAACCAAUGUCCAAGCCCAAGCUCAAGAUACACCAAGGUCUAAGCCUAGGUCAAGGCCCGAGUCAAGUCCCUACUUAGUUAUUAAUUAUAAAAGAAGAAUCAGACAAUAGCACUCUCAAUUUUACAUAUUAAAAAAAUUAGUUUGUUUCACCAUUUUUCUUUUUUAGAAAAAUUUGUGUACACACUGGCUUCAGCCUCCUUAGUUAUGGAACCUCUAUCAUUGUGUCAUGAAAUCAGAAAAGGCUUUCUUCUUUUGCAAUGCCUAAUUUCUGGUUGUUCUUAGAAUCAUCCUAAAGAAAUGAUUGUGCUCAACCUAGAUGGUUAUUCCCUUGCAAAUUAGGGUUAAUAAAAUGUCUAGGUAAAUAUCAUGAGGUUCUUCCCUCAUCAUAUAAUUAACUUUUCCUAGCCUCUUGGAGUUGACUGGUUGAAGAAGUUGAUUCUGUGUGCAGAAAGGAUGCAAUAAACUGAACUCAUGCUGGUAUCCUGACUGAAGUUUAAUUCUGUAAAACACAAUAUGAACAAGUGGAUUAAAAAUUAUGAGCAUAUCUUUUGGAUUAUCCAGAAUCGUUAGAAGUGGUGAUUGAUGUUUGUAAAAUUUGGGUUGUCCAUUUUUGGAUUCUUAGAUUGUCUACAGAGGUGUAUUGUAGCAGAGUGUGCUGCUUGUUAGGGGAAGAUAUGUCUCCUUUGUGUGCUUUGUGGAGUUUUCUUUUUCUUAUUUGACAAGAAAUUGAAUGUAGAAAGGAUAAGUUUUAGGUUUUCUUACUUUGGAGGAACUCUCUUACUCCCUUUUCUAUUCUUUUCCAUCUUAUAAACUCUCAUGUUUAGAGAGAGAGAGAGAGAGAGAGAGAGAGUUCUUAGGAGAUUGCAACUAACUGAGGAGAAAAUGGCUGCGAGUGACUGGGUGUUGGCCAUCAUUAUUGGAUACAAGCCCUAGAUCUUAGAAAUUUUAUUCAUGAAUAAAUGCUAAAGUUGGUUCUUCUUUACCCUGUGCAUAACUUGGGCAAUAUGCUUUCAGCUUUGCAUGGCUUGAGCUGGUGAGUCACAGGAGUUUCAUGCCGAAAUUGCUAACAGGAAACCCUUCAAAGGGUUGGCCUUAUCUUCAUCGGUUGUUGGUGGACUUGUUCCAAUUCAUGGAGCCAUUCUUGAGAAAUGCCAUACUAGGAGAGCCGGUUUGCCUCUUUUAAUUGCAGCAUCAUCUUCUUGCUUGCAGCUCACUAUAGGCUGAAAUUAUUACAUUUUGUUUUCCUUUCGUGUUUUUUUGACCGUGCAGGUUCAUUUUCUGUAUAGAGGCACACUUAGGGUGCUGUUAAUGCUACUUCAUGAUUUCCCGGAGUUUCUAUGUGGCUAUCAUUUUACCUUCUGUGAUGUGAUCCCUCCAAGCUGCAUACAGAUGCGAAACAUUAUCCUUAGUGCAUUUCCCCGAAAUAUGAGGCUUCCAGAUCCAUCUACUCCCAAUUUAAAGGUGUCCCAUAAUCGUAAAUGAUUAUCCAUGAGAUGUUUAGUGAUCAAAGCUAAUCAUAAAAGGAAGUCUUCCUUUUUGUUUUAUGCAUGCAGAUAGAUUUGCUGGUGGAGAUCAAUCAGUCCCCACUUAUUCUCUCAGAUGUUGAUGCGUCUCUUAAGGUGAAGCAGAUGAAGACCGAUGUAGAUGAGUAUCUCAAGGUAUAUGGAUGUUUGCCACUUACCAUUCAUAUUUGCCUGAUAAACUUGCUUAGAUUCUCGUAAAACUAGAUAAAAACCCUUGCAGGAGAUGUGUUUCUUUCCUCAUCUUCUAUAACUCUCUCAGCAUGAUUAUUAUUCCUUCAUUUGGAAUGGAGUUUCUUUCUUCUGUUUUAUUUUUUAUUUCUACAUGUGAUUUUUCUUUUUUCUUUCUUAUUCCUGUGUUGCAAAUCUAUGCAGAUGGGGCAACAGGGGUCGUCAUUUCUCAGUGGAAUGAAGCAAAGACUGCUGCUUCUGCCAAUUGAUGCUGCUCGUGCUGGAACCCGUUAUAAUAUACCCUUGAUCAAUUCCCUUGUACUUUAUGUUGGAAUGCAGGUAACCUGAUUUAUGCAUUUUUAAAUGUGUACAUUUCUUCUUCAGGUUUUCCCAAAGACCCUGUCAUGAGCUCGCAAACAUAUAUGCCAUGGAUUUUGUAGUUGGUGGUAAACCAAUUUCACUUAUAUAUUAUUAAAUGCCAGAAAUUGUAAUCAUCUUCAAUAAGCAUAUGCGAUUUUAUCAUAUUGAUUGUUGUUAACAAUCCAUGUUCAUGAAUUUUCUGAAUACAGACAAUAUUCCUAGUUGUUAAUAGAUAUCUAAAUUAUAUCUAAAAAUAUGGUCCUUGAAGUUUGAUUUUGAGGGUUGUACUGUAGGCUAUGCAGCAGCUGAAAGCAAGAACACCACCUCAUGUGCAGCCAAUGGCCAGCAGCCCAUUGGCUGGCUUCUUGGUGAGUGCUGCCUUGGAUAUUUUUCAGACUCUACUAGCAGAACUGGACACUGAAGGACGCUACCUCUUUCUGAAUGCGGUUGCUAACCAACUACGUUAUCCAAAUACCCAUACACACUACUUCUCCUUCAUUCUUCUUUACUUGUUUGCGGAAUCAAACCAGGUGAGCUUCUUUACAUUUUAAUGUAUUAUUUUCAUGCUUUUGCAUUUUUAUGAUUCUUGACCGAAUAGUAGUUUUUAGUUCUUUUGGCCCACUGUUAUGAGUGGACAAUUUGGAUUGUUGUAUUUGAGGCUCAGAAGUACAAUAUGGUCAUAAAGCUCCCUUUAAUUGCCUUUUUGUUUCCUCUUCUUUUUCCUGAUCUGAAACAAGAUUUCAUUUAUAGUCAUAUAUAGUGGUGCCUGGCCUUCUACAUGAUGGGUAAAUGACUCUGUUAAGGAGAUGAUAAACACCAAAAUUCUCUAAAUGAUCAGAUAAUUUUCAUCAAUCUGAUCACAGUUUUCUGAUUGCUCUUUUAUGACUAUUUUUCCAUGUUUUAGAUUGGUUUUAACUCAACAGACCCCAACAUUUAUAGUAGAAUUUCUAUGUGAGGUUCACUUGCUUUCAGGUUGCAAUAUAUGUAAAAUCACACUGUUUGUGGUGUUUAAGUUUUCAAGCAGACUAGUUUUGAUAUAUUCUAACCUAUUGAGGAUAUGAAACCAUGGAACAAAGCAGUGGUUUAUUUUAGUGGCUGAUCUACGUUUACCUUGGCAGGAAAUCAUUCCAGAGCAGAUCACUAGAGUGUUGUUGGAACGCCUUAUUGUCAGUCGACCUCAUCCAUGGGGUCUUCUGAUUACCUUCAUUGAGCUCAUCAAGGUAACUCAGCUUUUCGACUCAGUUUCUCCAUAAACAACAGGUGCUUUAUAGAAGGUUGGAUUUUGUUCAUUUUGCAGAACCCUAGAUACAAUUUUUGGAACCGGACCUUCAUAAGCUGUGCACCAGAGAUCGAGAAGCUCUUUGAAUCAGUCUCAAGAUCAUGUGGGGGUGCAAACCCCUUGGAUGAGAGUACCGUCUCGGGUGGAUUUUCUGAAAAUAUGCACUGAAUCUUCCUUGUCCAAACUAUCACUCUUCUUAUUGAAAUUCUUUUUCAUCACUAUGAGUUAGGCACACAAAUUAAGAAGAAUAAAAAUAAAAACAACAAAAAGAAAGGAAACAAAAACACCCUACUAGUGACGUGAAACUUAUGGAUUCCUAAUGCAAAUUUAUUUGGAACAAAACACUCAAAUUUCAUGCUUCUGCUAUUAUUUCGUGUCCUCGUAUUAAAUGGUACGAAGGAUACACCUAAAAAAUGCAUGCUAGAAUGCUGCCAAUUAUGCAAGGUGAGUAUGUCAUUGAACCACAAGUUUUAUUACAUGAGCUUGAAGUUAGGUUUUGCUUGAUUUUGACUGAAGUUACAUUAAUUGCAAAUGCCCUGCAUUUGAACUAACAUAUCCUUGUCAAACUGAGGCAUUUUGUACUUUUUUUGGUGGCUUCAAUCUCUGCAGCUUCAAUGGCUCUUGAUAUCUUCUUGAAUAUUGACUGUCUCUCUUUCACUUUCUUCUUGUUCGCCUUUUUCUGGGCUUUGCUUAUUUUCUUCUGCAUCUUUUCUAAUGCUUUUGUCCGUCUGUUCUCCAGCUUGUCCUGUUAAAACAAAAUUGAAUAAGGAGAAUAGUAGAAUCUCAGUCACAGCAACUCGUAGAAACAUGGAAACUAAAAUGUUCACGAGUACAAACAUUUUUCUUAAAACAUUUAAGCUCAAAUUUCCAGAAAAGAGGCUAAUGACUGUUAUUUUUAUUUUUACACCGUGUAAAUCCAAUACCCAAGACCAAGCCUACGAGAAGUUUGAGUGUGGUAUGCAGUUAAUCAGUGAGCUCCAGUUUUCCUGAAUUGAAGGCCACCAGAUUGCUUUGGUCUGGAACACUUGGGAUAAAGCUACUAAACAAAAUGGUAAUCAAACAGGACCAUGGAACACCUGGGAGUUACCUCUAUUUUCUUCAUCUGAGUCGUGGCAAUCUUGGUCUUUCUAGAUUCCCACUCACGUAUGGCAGCUUCUUUACCUUUCAGCCUUGAAAAACAUGCAUGUGAGAAAGAGAGAGAAGGCUUCUCAGGGAGAGAUAGAGGGAGGGGGAAAGUGUUGUGACUCACUUCUUCAUGAAUUUCAUUUGUGCAGCUUUUCUAGAUGCAUCUACUUGAGCUUCAGCCUCUUGUUUCUUGAUUUCGUCUAAGAAUGCAUGGUAGGGUUUGGGUCGAGUCAGCAUUCUGAUAUCGCCAGUGAUUGGGCUACAACUAUCAACGUGGCCCACAUAUAUGCUGUCUCCAAGGGUUCUCUCUUCACAUAUUGGAAGUAAUUUCAUGCUGGAGUUUUCGUUUUCCAUGCCUGCAAUUGCAAAUGUAUAUAUAUCCAUGGAAUGUUCAAGCACUUAGAGAUUGUUAUUGCUUUGCACAAAUAAACAUGAACAAAUCGAGCGAGAGAGAGAGAGGGGGGGAGAGAGAGACCUCUAGGCUGGUGCUUCUGCAAAUUGGGCUGAAAGAAACCAUUGGCAUGCUUCAUCCAUUCAUCUAUUUCAACAAGGGAUGCUGAUCGCUUACUGAUAUUGGAUACGAUGCAGGAGCUCUAAAGAAUGAAAUUAGAAAUUCACUGAAGAAAUUAUUUGCUCUCUUCAUAAUUAUCCAACUGUCGAAUAUGAAGCAGAGAAAACAAACAUUCUACUGCAUUUGUUUUCGAGAAUUAUGUGAAAGAAAUAUUGAAAGAACUGAAAAGAACCAUGCGCUAGUGGAUUUCUUAGAAACCCCAAUAAAUCAAGAAAUGGUUAUAAGACCUGAAAUCAGCCCCAUCAAAAUAUCAAGAGAUACAAAUUUUCUUAUUCAAGUUAUCAACGGAAUGCAUAAUAAACAAAACGCAGACAGACCCAUUAAUCCAAACUUCCAAAUAAACAAAACCCAGAAAAAGACAGCCAUUUUCUUGCCGUAAUACCUUGUUUCUUUGGGUGGAUAACUCCGUAGACAUCCGAGAAGAGAAUGCAUCCGAGGAAGGAAAGAAUGAGCUAGGGGUAGAGGGGCUUGGACAACUGCUGCAAACAGGUGAUGGAGAAUCUGGCAAGAUGGCCAAGAGAGACUUCAUGCUCCAAGCUUGGCUGCUACCAGAGGAGUCAUAUCUACAAUCUGUUGCGGUGUGCGAGCUGUUGAAGGUUCUUGCAGAAGAAAGUUGUGAGUUGUCAUCUUUAAAUACAGAAUCUGCAGGUGAGAAGAUGAAGGGGUUGGUGGGGUUGCAUGGUGAGAAAUGAGGCCAUCUUGUUGUUCCCGUCAUGUUGUUAUGGUUUUGUUUGAGUUGUUGAGGGUGGGUUAGGGUUCUUGGCUUCUUCUUCACUGGUAGGAAUUUCAUGUUCCGUUGAGAGUGUGUUAAGAGGCAAAAGAAUGAGACUGCAUGGACUCAAUUUUUUUUUGGUGGUUGGCGUUUUAAGGCAGUGUUUGGGAAAAUUUUGUUAGAGAAGGUAUGGUAAUUAUAAUUCAAAUUUCAACCAUGCAUUUUUCUCAUUUUCCUUUGUUCUUGGUUUUAUAGAAAUAGAUUCAUACCUAAAAGUUUGUGUUGAGCUCCCUUUAUAUUAUUGGACUCUUUCAAGAAUUUCAAUUUUUACCAUCCUUAAAUUAAAUUCUUCAAAUAACACAGAGGAACAUCUUUUUACCCCCGGAAAGGAUGAACAUCGACAAUGCUAGUUUUGUGUAAUGUUAGCUGAUAGUUUUUUUGUAAACUAAUAUUUUUCCAGAGUGGAGAAGCAAUUUAAAAAUCUUUCAAGAAAAUAAAUAUAAUUUAAUAAUUUAAAGUUUUGGUGGAGGAAAGCAUUAAUAGGGAUUGACAAUGGGAUGGAUUUUUUUGGAUACCCUCGUCCGUUGUGGCCCUAAUAAGUUGGAUCAAGAGCUAGUGUGCAUUUUAUUUUUUAUUUUCUUAAACCAUGAAUGAGUUUGGAUAUCAGCUUGUCCUACUCUAAUAUAUAUUAUUUUCUCUUUUUAACCCAUAUAAAAAAAAAAAAUCUAUUUAUAAAAUAUAAUAUUUAUUUAUUUAUAAAAUAUAUUUAUUAUUAAUAUAAUUAAUUUAAAAAAAAAUUAAAGAAGUUGAUUAUUCUAAAACCAACAUAGUUAAUUAUAGGUUUUAUAAUGUGCACUAAAUUAUAUUUUAUUUUGUGCAAUUUUCUACUUUCGCGGUGAUGGUUUUAAUCUAAUUUUAAAACAAACUUUGUUAACAUGAUUUUAAAUCAAUUUUAAACUUACUCUAAAACCAGGCGUUGUAAUAAAACUAACAUUGUUAAUAGUUGUUUAAAGCCAAUUUUAAUUAUGAAAUUACAAGAAUGAGAAGAUCAGAAGGUUUCUUGUUGCACCUCCAAUGAUGUGUAUGCACCAUUUUCGUUUCAUUUUAACAAUAAUGCUAAGUUAAUAACCAUGGAACGAGGCAAUCGCAUACCCAGUUGCAAAGAGCAAAGCCUCCCUGUGUCAUUCAUUUUAAAAGAUGAAACAAGAAAUAUUUAUCAUGGCUCACAACUACAUUUCAUCAACGAGAACAAACCCACCUGCUAUUCUCGUAACCUUUCACAAUUUGCAAGACAGAAUAUUUUUUAUUUAUUUUUAUUUUUUAUUGAUAAGUAAAUUUGCAAGACAGAAUAAUAAGCCGCCAUCUAAAACAAACCAAUGUUUAUACUUCCAUCAUCUAAACCAAUUGUUGAUUAAAGAUCCAAAAUAAAGCACAUUCAACUGUGCUUUCCUAUUUAGUAUACCAUUUUAGGCCUCUUUCCGGACAAAGUAGAGCUUGCCCAUGACAUGAAGAAUGGCAACAAAGGCUAUAAAACCAAUGCUCAUGACAAGUACAACAUUGGGAGAAAUCUUGAGCCCAGGGGCAUCAUCUGUGUAAAACUGCAGCAUGUUCCCACUGGCAACUCCAGCAGUCCCACCACUUGUUGUCCUCCUCCUCCUAAGGCUGGCAGCAGCUGCUGCACUUCCUCUUGGGGGAGCUGCUCCAUUCUGAACCAUCUGUUACAUCCAUUUUAAGUUUAGAAACAACCAGAAACAGUUUGGGAAAGAUAUCCAUAAGAGCAAGCCUUUGGUCACUCAAGAUGGGCGAGAUCUAGGUGUCUUAAACCAUUUGCAAUUAGUUAAUUUUAGCACAACAAUCCUCCUAUGUAUAAACACAUUUUAUCUAUGUAACUACCAUGUACAUGCUCUUAACCGAAGCCAUGUUCUUGGGAUUCAAAACAUGAAAGGGAAUGGAUGAGUUCAUAUUUUAUACAAGCAAAUGCAUUUUAGUCACUUGAAUAUGAAUCUAAAAUACAAAAUGCCAAUAACAGAAUCAACCUAUAAAUGGAAUGGGUUUCAAGAAACUGCAUUGAAGGCAACAAGUUUUUGGGUUUCAACAGAGGAUCGAUCAAAGGUAGGGAGCCACUAGUAAAUAUAAUCUCAAACCCUGAUUGAUCAUACUUGCUACUUACUACCAUAGAGCAAGUCUCAAAUUGCAGGAAAAUACUUGCUAGUUUUGGUUGUACAUAUAAACAUUAAUAAACUAUAUAAAGAAAAAAAUUAAGAUUCCUACCUUUGGUGUAGUAAAGAAAAAUUUUCCUUUCACAAAAAAAAAAAAAAAAAAAAGGAAAAGAAAAAAAAAAUAUUGAUAAAAGAAUGGGAUCACAUGGUAAAAUAACUUGAAAAGACAUUGCACUAUCCUAAAUUCUCUCCCUGCAACCUUUUACCCUUACACUUUACGUUCCCAUACACAAACUUCAGAAGAAAUCUGCUUAAAUGGGUAAUCUUUCUAUUGCUCUCAUUACCAAAGGGUUCCCUUUCCAAGUGUGUGUUUGGUUCAUCAGCAUCUAAACUUGGGAAUAAAAAAGAUAUUUUUGAAAGAAAAUUCACAAAAAAUAAUAGAUAUAAAGAUACCUGCAAUUUUUUUUUUUCUUCUGAGGUAACUUUUCUUUUCCAGGAUCGGGAAAACAUAUCCAAUAUGAAGUGACCUUUUGAGUUUUUUAACCCUAUGCCAGAAUCAAGCAACCAAGUUUAUCUGAAUCCUAACAGCUAUUAUCCCUAGCCUGAUAUGGGAAAGUGUAAUUAUUCAAGAAACAAGGAUUAAACUCUUUCCUUUUCCAAAGUCCAAACCCCACCAACAUCAAGAUCACCGGGUCACUUGUUUAAGCCAUGGAACACUAGGUAGAUUGGUUACAAACAAAAAAUAAAGUUUUGACAAAAAAAAUAGAUAAAAUUUGCUAGGUACAAUCUCGUUUCAUUUUUCUAAGUACUUGAAAAAUCUCAAAAUCUAAUGGAACAAUGCCUCAAGGAGUUUGCCAGUACAAAUCUGUACCUAUUGACAACUUAAUUUUGUUCCAGUUAAUUUAAAUAUCUAAUCGUGCAAUCAUAAAAAUAUAAGCUUUUUAGCCCACUUUUAUGUCAACCUUAAGGCCAUGUUUGGAAUUGAAACGGAAAUCAAUUUCAUCCUCUGUUCUUUCAUGUGAUUGGAUUGAGAAUUAGGAAUUAAAAUUCAUUGUUAUGAAAAUCAAAUUCUACUCUCACUAGGUCUUUGAUUCCUCUCUGCUACAUGGCAUUAUGAGUCCCCUCCAUUCCCAUUCUUAUUUACACUUGCCAAACGCAGUACAAAUGUUUUGUGUUUAAGCUUGUCAUGUACAAUAAUGUUUAUACAUACAAAGUACCAACCAAAAUUAGAAAUUCGGAAUCUAAGGCUCAAACUUAUAAUUACUUUUCUUCUUUUUUUUUUCUUCCCUUAUCCCGGAAACCAAACAGAACAUGAACAAAAAGGCAAUCUGAUCAGGGAAAAAAAUCAGAUCCAAUCACAAACAUCCCAAAAUUCCAAUCAAAACCCUGAACCAUAUCCAGAAAACCUAAAACACGAUGAAUUGAGCAAGAUCAGAUCUGAGAACCCAAGUGAAAACCCUAAAGCAACCACAACAACCCUAGAGACCCACAGAUCUGUGAUUUUUACAUCAGAAAUCGCGACCAAAAGAAAAUAAAUUCUACAGAGAGAGUUGGAGAGAAACUCGCCUUCGAAGCCGAGAGAAUCGCGAUCGACGCAGAGUCGUCCUGAGUUUUUGACUUUGAAUAAUGCGCUGAAGCGUUUUCAAUAGCCUUUUAUUUGGAUUAAUUAAUUAAUUAAUUAAAAGGGAUGAAAUGCUUCAACUUUCUUUAUAAAUUUCUUUAAAAACUUGGAAUAUUUUCGAUGUAUUUUAUUUUUUAAAAUAUUGCAUAAAAGUAACUUU